rnacentral:rRNA from 1 species
GACGUAGGAUGCGAGCGUUUAUUCGGAUUUAUUGGGCGUAAAGCGUGCGUAGGCGGCUGUUUAAGUCUGGUGUUAAAGCUAGGGGCUCAACCCCUGUGAUGCACUGGAAACUGGGCAGCUUGAGUGCGGUAGGGGAAGGUGGAAUUCCGAGUGUAGCGGUGAAAUGCGUAGAUAUUCGGAAGAACACCGGUGGCGAAGGCGACCUUCUGGGCCGCAACUGACGCUGAGGCACGAAAGCAUGGGGAGCGAACAGG